UAGAGUCGACAAAAAAUCAAUGGAUAUGUUCCAUUGUCCUGCUUCUUUCAUCGGAGGGCUCUCUUUGGGCUUUCCGAAAAUGUAUCACAUGCCAAGUUUGGCCUCACUGUAUAAAAGUUAUAGAGUCAUAAAGUUUUAACCAAAGAAAAAAAUUAAAAAAAAGAGGGAUGAGACACGAGGACUUCCCGGGAGGUCAUCCAUCUUAGUACUACUCUCGCCCAAGCACGCUUAACUGCGGAGUUCUGAUGGGAUCCGGUGUAUUAGUGCUGGUAUGAUCACAUCCGUUAGUAUAUGCAAUACAAUCGUAUAUAUU
rnacentral:sRNA from 1 species